rnacentral:rRNA from 1 species
GACGAACGCUGGCGGCGUGCUUAACACAUGCAAGUCGAACGGUAAGGCCCUUCGGGGUACACGAGUGGCGAACGGGUGAGUAACACGUGGGUGAUCUGCCCUGCACUUCGGGAUAAGCCUGGGAAACUGGGUCUAAUACCGGAUAGGACUCCUGGCUUCAUGGUUGGGGGUGGAAAGCUUUUGCGGUGUGGGAUGGGCCCGCGGCCUAUCAGCUUGUUGGUGGGGUGAUGGCCUAUCAAGGCGACGACGGGUAGCCGGCCUGAGAGGGUGACCGGCCACACUGGGACUGAGAUACGGGCCAGACGCCUACGGGAGGCAGCAGUGGGGAAUAUUGCACAAUGGGCGCAAGCCUGAUGCAGCGACGCCGCGUGAGGGAUGACGGCCUUCGGGUUGUAAACCUCUUUCAGCACCGACGAAGCGCAAGUGACGGUAGGUGCAGAAGAAGGACCGGCCAACUACGUGCCAGCCGCCGCAGUAA